rnacentral:rRNA from 1 species
UACGAAGGGGGUUAGCGUUGCUCGGAAUCACUGGGCGUAAAGGGUGCGUAGGCGGUUUUUAAGUCAGGGUGAAAUCCUGGAGCUCAACUCCAGAACUGCCUUUGAUACUGAAGAUUUUGAGUCCGGGAGAGGUGAGUGGAACUGCGAGUGUAGAGGUGAAAUUCGUAGAUAUUCGCAAGAACACCAGUGGCGGAAGGCGGCUCACUGGCCCGGUACUGACGCUGAGGCACGGAAAGCGUGGGGAGCAAAC